ACGAACGCUGGCGGCGUGCUUAACACAUGCAAGUCGAACGAAGAGCGAUGGAAGCUUGCUUCUAUCAAUCUUAGUGGCGAACGGGUGAGUAACGCGUAAUCAACCUGCCCUUCAGAGGGGGACAACAGUUGGAAACGACUGCUAAUACCGCAUACGAUCUAAUCUCGGCAUCGAGGAUAGAUGAAAGGUGGCCUCUACAUGUAAGCUAUCACUGAAGGAGGGGAUUGCGUCUGAUUAGCUAGUUGGAGGGGUAACGGCCCACCAAGGCGAUGAUCAGUAGCCGGUCUGAGAGGAUGAACGGCCACAUUGGGACUGAGACACGGCCCAGACUCUUACGGGAGGCAGCAGUGGGGAAUCUUCCGCAAUGGACGAAAGUCUGACGGAGCAACGCCGCGUGAGUGAUGACGGCCUUCGGGUUGUAAAGCUCUGUUAAUCGGGACGAAAGGCCUUCUUGCGAACAGUUAGAAGGAUUGACGGUACCGGAAUAGAAAGCCACGGCUAACUACGUG
rnacentral:rRNA from 1 species